GAUGAACGCUAGCGGCAAGCUUUAUACAUGCAAGUCGAGGGGCAGCAUGAAGUAGCAAUACUUUGAUGGCGACCGGCAAACGGGUGCGGAACACGUACACAACCUUCCUUUUAGUGGGGAAUAGCCCAGAGAAAUUUGGAUUAAUACCCCGUAACAUAACUGAGUGGCAUCACUUGGUUAUUAUAGCUUCGGCGCUAAAUGAUGGGUGUGCGUAUGAUUAGAUAGUUGGCGAGGUAACGGCUCACCAAGUCUACGAUCAUUAGCUGAUGUGAGAGCAUGAUCAGCCACACGGGCACUGAGACACGGGCCCGACUCCUACGGGAGGCAGCAGUAAGGAAUAUUGGUCAAUGGACGCAAGUCUGAACCAGCUAUGCCGCGUGAAGGAUUAAGGUCCUCUGGAUUGUAAACUUCUUUUAUCUGGGACGAAAAAAGGUCUUUCUAGACCCCUUGACGGUACCAGAUGAAUAAGCACCGGCUAACUCCGUGCCAGCAGCCGCGGUAAUACGGAGGGUGCAAGCGUUAUCCGGAUUCACUGGGUUUAAAGGGUGCGUAGGCGGGUAGGUAAGUCAGUGGUGAAAUCCUGGAGCUCAACUCCAGAACUGCCAUUGAUACUAUCUAUCUUGAAUAUUGUGGAGGUAAGCGGAAUAUGUCAUGUAGCGGUGAAAUGCUUAGAUAUGACAUAGAACACCCAUUGCGAAGGCAGCUUACUACGCAUAUAUUGACGCUGAGGCACGAAAGCGUGGGGAUCAAACAGGAUUAGAUACCCUGGUAGUCCACGCCCUAAACGAUGGAUACUCGACAUACGCGAUACACUGUGUGUGUCUGAGCGAAAGCAUUAAGUAUCCCACCUGGGAAGUACGUUCGCAAGAUUA
rnacentral:rRNA from 1 species